ensembl:lncRNA
UUUUCCAACCUUAAUGAUUCUGUGAAGGCUCCUUGGGAGGACAGAGCCUGCUCUGCUCUCACACCAACAAAUGCAUGGGUGGAGAGAGAUACGAUGCACAGCAUGAAACUUCCUGGCAGAUUUUUCCUGUGUGAAAACCACCCUUACCUUGUAAGACAUAGCCCAGUGGCUGCAGUUCUUCUGUGACGCUGGUGUUCGCUCACUUCAGAAGCCACAAAGUUCUUCUCAAUCUCUCAGGGCCACAUCAGCCAGCAAAAAUCAAACUAGACGCUGUGGUUUCAGCCCUGUGUCUUUUGCGUAUUGCAGGCCCACAGACCUGUCUGUUAUUAUCCUGAUGUUAAUGCGUCACAGGGAAUAUUUGCUAAGUUGCUUUCUUUCCUAGAUAUUUCUAGGAGAUAUCCGUAGAUAUUUCCCAGAUAUUUCUGUAUUUACAAUGGGGAGAACCUGCCACACUGUCCCUGUUCACAUCAUGUACAUAGCAGUCAUUGCAACACCAAAGAAGUGGCUAACUAAAAUACUUCUUUGUAAUCUUUUUAAUGGAAGAAAGCAAUUAAAUCCUUUAGCUUCACCAGGACUUAAAUAUAUGCUUAGUUUCAAGCACAUCGUUGAAUACUUUCCUAAAUCAGGAUCUUGAUUUCCAACGUUGUGUUUUUUUAACCUGAAUGUCAUUUACAAUACGUUGAACUCUUUUCUCUUCUGACAUCUUAUGCUGAUCUAUGAGUUGGCCUUCAUUUUGUCCUGUUAAGUAGAAACCCACUUCAUCAUGAAAUAUGUUCCUCAUACUUUCUCCAACCCAGGGAGAGAAAAACAUUGAUAAACAUCAUAUGGCAACCAUUUCACAAAAGCUUCGAACAUAUCUCAGGAAAGGAGAAGGAAAAUAAAUAUGAAGCAACCGCUGCUUGUUGAGGUAGAUGCUGAUUCCAUGAAGGAGUGAGUGGGACUCGUGGUUAGAGGAGCAGGCUGCAGCAAAUCCUCCCUCUGCCCUUCUUCUGUCUGGCAAGUAGAAGGCUGUGAGGAAAGUAAGUCAUUUGACCCCAGUUCAGGUGGAGAUGGAACAAAGUGUCACAUCUAAAUGUGCUAUGUUGUUUAAAGUGUGGGGCUUCCAGAGGAAUGCUGCAAGUGGUGGUGACCUUUCCCAAGGACUCCUACUGAGUGUAAGCAGUGGACUUUUUAGAGCAAACAGUUUAUUAUUCCACUAACACUGGAUUUUAAAAAUUCCCUCGGAAUUUCGGGUUUCCUUGGAGGAUUUUUUUAAGGCAGAUUUAGUUGAGUUGCAAGGCAGCAUCUGCUAAUGUGUGCCAGCAGUCGUAAUAAUACUGCGCACCAGAUCUGUCUGUGUUUGUGUAACCUCUGGAUCUGUUGCAGAUCACCCCUGACUAAUUCUUAUGUGUCCGAAAUAUUACCCGUUUCAGCGAAACUGAAAUCUUCUGCCCAUUGCACAACAGAAGAGAGCUAUUUCAUCUAAGGGACAAUAUUGGCACAGAAACAAAUGGCUUUGAACUGACCGUGAAUAAAUUUGAGCAAUUACAUUAUUUCUAACCAGCAGAGGAAUGAGAGACUGGAAGAGCCUUCUAAUAUGAAAAGAAAGAACUGGAGCCCUGGGCAGCUUUAAGAUGAAGCUUGAUUGGUUUAUGAAGGCAAUUAUAUGGCACAGUGCUCUAUAGCACUCUCAAUAGCCACAAGCUGGAUUCACAGGCCCCCUGCCCUCUCCCAGCCCAAGCCUGCAGACAGCAAAGGUCCAUUUCUUCAAAUCUUCACCCCAGCCUUUUUGUCGAGCGAGCAGAGGGUACGUGAGCUUUUGGAAGAGUAGAGCCACAAUGGAAGCACUGUGCAGGUGCUACCAUUCCUUAGAGCAUGCUGCCCGUAGAAAAAUUCCCCUCUCCCUUUCUCCUAGCCAGCUCUGCUGAGAUGCAUGUGAGCACCAUGGGGGAAACUGGGAGGGGUCAUAUGUGAUGAGCCAGCAAAAAGUAUGGAAAAAUCACCCCGAGCUACUGAUAAACAAGUUCUGUUUUCCCCAAGUCAGAGACGUUUUUAUUAGGAGUUUAAUACUUCACCAUGGUGCAGAUAUACAGCAUAUAUGCUCUUUCCCAGAAUUUCACCCUUAUUUCAGAUCAGAGUUUGCCCAUAAAGCUCCAGUAAUGUUUUUCUUUUAGUAGUGACACUUAACAAAAUAAUUAGGCAAUUAAUUGCCUAACUCCACAAGGAGCAGCAAUUAUUUUUUUUACUUAAAACAUGUAAAAAGCUGUGUCAUUUAUUGAUAGAGAGUCGCAUAAUAUUCCACGGCACAACAGCCCUCUGGAGACAUUACUCUAUAUGCUGUGAAUGCAUUUUGAGAAUAAUAAACAAAACUCAGCUAAAUC